CCGGACAGGGAAACUUCGAUGGACUUCAGUUUGCAAGCGAUGGAAUCCGUCAGAAAAAUAUGUGCAGGUCGAAAGGUUUCAAGUUUACGGCGGCACAGCAACAAACGUCAAGCGAAAACCGCAUUCCAGUACAGCAGAGUGUUCAGAGACAAAGAAUUCAGCAAUAUCCCAAUGUAAUGAAUGAGCAAUUGCAAGGCAACACCGAAACUACGUCAGCGCCUACAAGGGAAGAUAUUAUGAAAAUGCGAAGAAAAAGCUCUGUGCAGCGGAACAAGUCGUGCACAAUAUCUUAGUGUUAGAAGUUUGACUUGAAAUGUUUUUAACUCAUUUGAACAUCAAAAAACUCUUAAGGUACUUGGACUGGAUGUUGGAGAAAAAACUAAAAUAUUUUUUUCAAUUACCUGCUUUGUUUGGCAUAUUCUUAAUGCGGAUGAUGGCUCCACAGAAUAUUUUCAAGUGGAACUGAAUAGCAAUAUUUUUAUUUAUUUUUUUUGUAAAUGAUCCUCACUUUAAGCAGUCCAAGUGGCUUAAACUCUUGUAAUAAUUUUAUUUUACCUUUACGACUUAAAUGAACAUUAUCAAAUACUAAAAACAAAAAAA